rnacentral:rRNA from 1 species
GGUCUUUAGUUUUUUAUUUAAGAUCAGGCCUGCCCAUUGAUUUGAAAAAUUAAAAGGCUGCGGUAUUUUAACUGUACGAAGGUAGCAUAAUCAUUUGUCUUUUAAUUGGAGGCUAGAAUGAAUGGUUUGAUGAGAAAUAAACUUUCUUCUUUUAAUUUAUAUUAACUUAAUUUUUUAGUUAAAAAGCUAAAAUUUUUUUAUAGGACGAGAAGACCCUAUAGAAGUUGACUAUAUUAAUAAUUUAGUGUUUUUUGUUGUUAAAAUAUUUUUUUAAAUUAUAUAGUUUUGUUGGGGUGACAUUAAAAUUUAUUUAACUUUUAAUAUUUUUUUCAUUAAUUUAUGUUUUUUUGAUCCAGUAUUUAUUGAUUAAAAGUUUAACUUACCUUAGGGAUAACAGCGUAAUUUUUUCGGAGAGCUCAUAUCGAUGAAUAAAGUUUGCGA